rnacentral:rRNA from 1 species
UAGUCCACGCCGUAAACGAUGUCAACUAGAUGUAGGGGGUGUUGAUCCCCUCUGUGUCGCAGCUAACGCAUUAAGUUGACCGCCUGGGGAGUACGGUCGCAAGAUUAAAACUUAAAGGAAUUGACGGGGGCCCGCACAAGCGGUGGAGUAUGUGGUUUAAUUCGAUGCAACGCGAAGAACCUUACCUGGUCUUGACAUCCCGGAGAUUUCCUGGAAACAGGAAAGUGCUUCCUUUUGGAAGAAUCCGGUGACAGGUGCUGCAUGGCUGUCGUCAGCUCGUGUCGUGAGAUGUUGGGUUAAGUCCCGCAACGAGCGCAACCCUUGCCUUUAGUGCCAGCAGUUCGGCUGGGCACUCUAAAGGGCUGCCGGUGUCAAACCGGNGGAAGGUGGGAUGACGUCAAGUCCUCAUGGGCCUUUAUGACCAGGGGCUACACACGUACUACAAUGGCCGAGACAAAGGGGCAGCGACAGGGGCGACC